ACACUCCUGCGGGAGGCAGCAGUGAGGAAUAUUGGACAAUGGGUGGAAGCCUGAUCCAGCCAUCCCGCGUGCAGGAAGACGGCCCUAUGGGUUGUAAACUGCUUUUAUCUGGGGAUAAACCUACUUACGUGUAAGUAGCUGAAGGUACCAGAAGAAUAAGCACCGGCUAACUCCGUGCCAGCAGCCGCGGUCAUACGGAGGGUGCAAGCGUUAUCCGGAUUUAUUGGGUUUAAAGGGUCCGUAGGCGGACUGAUAAGUCAGUGGUGAAAUCCGACAGCUUAACUGUCGAACUGCCAUUGAUACUGUUAGUCUUGAGUAAGGUUGAAGUGGCUGGAAUAAGUAGUGUAGCGGCGAAAUGCAUAGAUAUUACUUAGAACACCAAUUGCGAAGGCAGGUCACUAAGUCUUAACUGACGCUGAUGGACGAAAGCGUGGGGAGCGAACAGGAUUAGAAACCCGUGUAGUCCCA
rnacentral:rRNA from 1 species